GGCGAUCGAAAAGAUUAAGCCAUGCAUGUAUAAGUUUAAUCGUUUAUCGAGAAACCGCGAACGGCUCAUUACAAUGGCCAUGAUUUACUUGAUCUUGAUUAUCUAAAUGGAUAACUGUGGAAAAGCUAGAGCUAAUACAUGCACUAGAGCUUUGUCCUUACGGAAAAGCGCAUUUAUUAGAACAAAACCACGCGGCUUCGGCUGCUUCUUGUUGACUCAGAAUAACUAAGCUGACCGCAUGGCCUUGUGCCGGCGGCGUGUCUUUCAAGCGUCCACUUUAUCAACUUGACGGGAGCAUAAUCGACUCCCGUGGUGGUGACGGAUAACGGAGGAUCAGGGUUCGACUCCGGAGAAGGGGCCUGAGAAAUGGCCACUACGUCUAAGGAUGGCAGCAGGCGCGCAAAUUACCCACUCUCGGCUCGAGGAGGUAGUGACGAGAAAUAACGAGACUGUUCUCUUUGAGGCCGGUCAUCGGAAUGGGUACAAUUUAAACCCUUUAACGAGUAUCAAGCAGAGGGCAAGUCUGGUGCCAGCAGCCGCGGUAAUUCCAGCUCUGCUAAUACAUAGAAUUAUUGCUGCGGUUAAAAAGCUCGUAGUUGGAUUCGUAUCGGUACCUUGGAACCCUUCGGGUGUCUCUAGGUGUUAUCGAUUUAUCGUAAUGUUCGGUUUUGAGUCCUUAACAGGAUUCUUAACAGGCAUUGCAAGUUUACUUUGAACAAAUCAGAGUGCUUCAAACAGGCGUUUUCGCUUGAAUGAUCGUGCAUGGAAUAAUAGAAAAUGAUUUCGGUUCAGUUUUAUUGGUUUUACGGACUGAGAUAAUGGUUAACAGAGACAAACGGGGGCAUUUGUAUGGCCCCGUGAGAGGUGAAAUUCUUGGACCGUGGCCAGACAAACUACAGCGAAAGCAUUUGCCAAGAAUGUCUUCAUUAAUCAAGAACGAAAGUCAGAGGUUCGAAGGCGAUCAGAUACCGCCCUAGUUCUGACCGUAAACGAUGCCAACUAGCGAUCCGCCGAUGGAAAUUAUAUUGCCUUGGUGGGGAGCUUCCCGGAAACGAAAGUCUUCCGGUUCCGGGGGAAGUAUGGUUGCAAAGCUGAAACUUAAAGGAAUUGACGGAAGGGCACCACCAGGAGUGGAGCCUGCGGCUUAAUUUGACUCAACACGGGGAAACUCACCCGGCCCGGACACUGUGAGGAUUGACAGAUUGAUAGCUUUUUCAUGAUUCAGUGGAUGGUGGUGCAUGGCCGUUCUUAGUUCGUGGAGUGAUUUGUCUGGUUUAUUCCGAUAACGAGCGAGACUCUAACCUACUAAAUAGUUGGUACAUACUCUUAGUGUAUACAGCUUCUUAGAGGGAUUUGCGGCGUUCAGCCGAAAGAAAUUGAGCAAUAACAGGUCUGUGAUGCCCUUAGAUGUCCGGGGCUGCACGCGCGCUACACUGGCAAAAUCAACGUGCUUGUCCUACCCUGAAAGGGGCGGGUAAACCAUUGAAAAUUUGCCGUGAUUGGGAUCGGAAAUUGCAAUUAUUUUCCGUGAACGAGGAAUUCCAAGUAAGUGCGAGUCAUCAGCUCGCGUUGAUUACGUCCCUGCCCUUUGUACACACCGCCCGUCGCUGCCCGGGACUGAGCCAUUUCGAGAAAUUUGGGGACCGUUGAUUUAAUUUUUCUAAAUUACUUUGAUGGAAACCAAUUUAAUCGCAGUGGCUUGAACC
rnacentral:rRNA from 1 species